rnacentral:rRNA from 1 species
UACGGGGGGAGCAAGCGUUGUUCGGAUUUACUGGGCGUAAAGGGCGCGUAGGCGGCCACCGCAAGUCAAUUGUGAAAUCUCCGGGCUUAACUCGGAACGGUCAAGUGAUACUGUCGGACUAGAGUACAGAAGGGGCAACUGGAAUUCUCGGUGUAGCGGUGAAAUGCGUAGAUAUCGAGAGGAACACCUGCGGCGAAGGCGGGUUGCUGGGCUGAUACUGACGCUGAGGCGCGAAAGCUAGGGGAGCAAACGGG